UAAAAACAUAGUAUAAUAUAAUACAUUUCACUUACACUGAAAAUAUACUUAGGCAUAAGUUGUUUUUAA
rnacentral:tRNA from 1 species